rnacentral:rRNA from 1 species
CACGUAGGGGGCAAGCGUUGUCCGGAUUUAUUGGGCGUAAAGAGCUCGUAGGCGGUUCGGUAAGUCGGGUGUGAAACCUCCAGGCUCAACCUGGAGUCGCCACUCGAUACUGCUGUGACUAGAGUCCGGUAGGGGAGCGUGGAAUUCCUGGUGUAGCGGUGAAAUGCGCAGAUAUCAGGAGGAACACCAGCGGCGAAGGCGGCGCUCUGGGACGUGACUGACGCUGAGACGCGAAAGCGUGGGGAGCAAACAGG